rnacentral:rRNA from 1 species
CUNGUACUCACGAAUGCAUCUNCCAUUAGAUUAUGAUCAUGGCUCAGAGCGAACGCUGGCGGCUAGUGCCUAACACAUGCAAGUCGAACGAACUCUUCGGAGUUAAGUGGCGGACGGGUGAGUAACACAGUGUGUGAACUCGUGCCGUUUAGCUCGUUCAGAGAAUAACUCAAGUGGAAAACUUAGGUUGCUAAUACCUGAAAUUGUUGCACCC